rnacentral:rRNA from 1 species
ACCGCGGUUAUACGAGAGGCCCUAGUUGAUAGAUACGGCGUAAAGAGUGGUUAAGGGUGAUAAAUAAAUAAAGCCAAAGGCCUUCAAAGCUGUCACACGCACCCCGAAGGUACGAAGCCCGAACACGAAAGUAGCUUUACUAUACUCCUGACCCCACGAAAGCUAAGGAACA